AGUGAACGCUGGCGGUAGGCCUAACACAUGCAAGUCGAACGGCAGCACAGUAAGAGCUUGCUCUUACGGGUGGCGGGUGGCGGACGGGUGAGGAAUACAUCGGAAUCUACUUUUUCGUGGGGGAUAACGUAGGGAAACUUACGCUAAUACCGCAUACGACCUACGGGUGAAAGCAGGGGAUCUUCGGACCUUGCGCGAUUGAAUGAGCCGAUGUCGGAUUAGCUAGUUGGCGGGGUAAAGGCCCACCAAGGCGACGAUCCGUAGCUGGUCUGAGAGGAUGAUCAGCCACACUGGAACUGAGACACGGUCCAGACUCCUACGGGAGGCAGCAGUGGGGAAUAUUGGACAAUGGGCGCAAGCCUGACCCAGCCAUACCGCGUGGGUGAAGAAGGCCUUCGGGUUGUAAAGCCCUUUUGUUGGGAAAGAAAAGCAGCAGGUUAAUACCCCGCUGUUCUGACGGUACCCAAAGAAUAAGCACCGGCUAACUUCGUG
rnacentral:rRNA from 1 species